rnacentral:rRNA from 1 species
CGGCGGACGGGUGAGUAACGCGUGGGUAACCUGCCUCAUACAGGGGGAUAACAGUUAGAAAUGGCUGCUAAUACCGCAUAAGACCACAGUACUGCAUGGUACAGUGGUAAAAACUCCGGUGGUAUGAGAUGGACCCGCGUCUGAUUAGCUAGUUGGUGAGGUAACGGCCCACCAAGGCGACGAUCGGUAGCCGGACUGAGAGGUUGAACGGCCACAUUGGGACUGAGACACGGCCCAG